AUACUGCGACAGGUCCUGGAACACAGACACUCAUUUAGGCGUCCUACAAUAGUUGUCUUCCUGGACCUAAAGGCGGCAU
rnacentral:precursor_RNA from 1 species